rnacentral:rRNA from 1 species
UACAGAGGGUGCGAGCGUUAAUCGGAAUUACUGGGCGUAAAGCGUGCGUAGACGGUUAUUUAAGUCGGGUGUGAAAGCCCCGGGCUCAACCUGGGAAUUGCAUUCGAGACUGAAUAGCUAGGGUACGGUAGAGGGAAGUGGAAUUUCCGGUGUAGCGGUGAAAUGCGUAGAUAUCGGAAAGGAACAUCAGUGGCGAAAGCGACUUCCUGGACCAGUACCGACGUCAGGCACGAAAGCGUGGGGAGCAAACAGGA